GCAAACACUAAGAUGUCCUCUAGAGUUACUGCUGACUCACCACCUAGACCAAGAACGAGGAAUUUGAUUAGCUGAAAACAGCUUUUACAAGAUUUUCACAUUAGAAGCCAAAGAGUCUGCUCUGGAAGGUCAAAGAAACAUUUGGAGCCGAUUUGGAGGCCAAGUCAGAAGGUGUGUGGGCAGGAGUAGAAGGGAAAGCCGCAUUGUGUAUGCUGACAUGACACUGGGUCUUGCUCAAAGUUGUUUUAUACUUGUACUCCUGCCCAUAGCAGUCCCCAGUGGGAGGUAAAAAUUCCACUGGGUUGCAAGCUCAAGGUCAAUCCCUGCCCCCAAAUUCAAUCAUCCAGUAUAAAAUAAAAAAAAUUGGCUGACAGUUCAACAUUUACUUACGUUUUUCUUAGUGUCAGAUUCCUCACGGAAGGACUAAUCACGGAGGAAGGGGAUAUCAGUCUAUUAUUCGAAGAGGGGAGAUCUAGUUGUGAACACUGAGUAAAGGCAUUGGGGCAUAUCUUUGGGGACCUAGAAGGGAAGAAGCCCAACCACCUUGUUAGUUGAGUUGGCCACACCCUGACUCAGAAACAGCUGAGUCAGGAUACAGGUAUCUCCAGGAUACAAUAUUGUCCAUGACAAGUGUACAGUCAGUAAAUUACAUUUGUUUUUUUGUAAAUGAGUACUUCAGGCAUGAAGGAUUGCUUCUAGAUGCAAACAAAAUAAGAUUUGCACCAUGUCCUUAAACAAAUUACAUGCUUUAUGCUACUCCCCAUUCAAAGAAUACAUUGCAGGCUGCUUCUGAAAUCCCCAAGUUUCAGAACAGCUUGUUGGAUGGAAUGAAGAGCUGCUACAAAAAAACUCUGGAACAUUAGGUUGAAUUCAUGAUUUAGCCCUUUGAUCAGUUAUUUUUAGGCUCUAACUAUAAUUUGAUAGUGCCGAUGUUCACCCAAGCUUUGCCACAUGAAUGAACAAGAAUGAGCUGCAGCAAGCCUUAAAUUUGAUAGCACAUCCCCACUGUCCAAUCCCAGUGCAGGCUGGAGUUCAGGAGCGGAAGUUUUUGCUUUUGAUUACCCACCAUUUGCCACAUCCUCUGGAUCUGGAAUUGGGGUUAGUCUUAACCACAGUUAAACAUGUCAGCUUCAGUAGCUAUGGUUUGAAGCUGGCACUGAAAGAAAGUACAGGGAAGGUGGCUGCUUGGUGCUAAAAGUCAAGGAGUUCCAUAGUAUAGGUGCUGCCACACUAAAAUAUCAAUUUCUCACAACUGUGGAAUGAAUAUUACGUGGCACCUUUAACAGUGCCAGUUUCGGUCAAGUGACAUAUAUGGAGUAAGGUGAUGCUGCAAGGAAGACAUUCCCAAGCCAUUAUGGGCUUUAUAUAAGUUAAACCUUAAACUUGGCUUGAACAAAUCGGCAACUAGUACAGAUCUCUGGGCAGAGGCAUUAUGUGCCGACAGGUGCUUACUCCUGUCAGCAACUAUGCUGCAGCAUUCUGCAUUAACUGCAGUUUCCAGGCAAAGUGCAAGGGAAGCCCCACAUAGAGUAUACUGAGUUAAUCUAAUCUUGAAGUCACCAGUGCUUUCCCAGCCCAGGAACAGCUGAAACCGUCAUACCAAAUGCAGCUGGUAAAAGACACUUUUAGCUACUGGGGCUACCUGGGCCUCCAGCGGCAAAGCUGGAUCCACAAGAACCCCCAGACUGCGCAUCUGCUCCUUUGGGCAUGGGGGUGGACCUCAUCUAGGACAGACAACUGACCAAUGUUACAGACUGAACAACCAAAAGUGAGAACUCUCAACAUCUCCCAGCCAUGUGGGAAGAGCGAGCAUAAACAUGAGGUUCACUGCAGCUCAUUCCUGUUCAUUCACAUUGCGCUCAACCGUGGUUUAGCAUGAUGUGUGAACACCGCCUGUUUGUUUCCACGCGGCUGCAAAUGAAAGAACAUCACAUGCCUGACAAGGAAGCCAAGAUGGGAUCCAGGAGACUGUCUGGGACAUUUGGGUGAUGGCUCUUCCAGCAAGCUAUCGCCAAUAUCUGUUUUUUCUGGCAUACUCCGAGAACGCUUUCGCCAUUUCUGACAGUUCCCUGUGUAAUGAAAUUAACACAAUUUCUCAUCCAAAAUCUUUUUUAAAAAUUAAAUUAA